rnacentral:rRNA from 1 species
CCUACGGGAGGCAGCAGUAGGGAAUAUUCGGCAAUGGGGGGAACCCUGAACGAGCAACGCCGCGUGAACGAAGAAGUUAUUCGUAAUGUAAAGUUCUUUUAACAGGGAAGAAAGAGAAAUUUGACGGUACCUGAAGAAUAAGCUCCGGCUAACUACGUGCCAGCAGCCGCGGUAAUACGUAGGGAGCGAGCGGUAUCCGGAAGUAGUGGGCGUAAGGGGUGGGUAGAUGGCAUAGUAAGUCUUUUGUAAAAAUGCUGGGCUCAACCCAGUAGGGCAAAAGAUACUGGAAAGCUAGAGUAUGACAGAGGCAAGUGGAACUACAUGUGUAGCGGUGAAAUGCGUAAAUAUAUGGAAGAACACCAGUGGCGAAGGCGGCUUGCUGGGUCGAUACUGACAUUGAGGCACGAAAGCGUGGGGAUCAAACAGGAUUAGAUACCCCAGUAGUC